rnacentral:rRNA from 1 species
CUCGUAGGUGGCCAACUAAGUCAGACGUGAAAUCCCUCGGCUUAACCGGGAACUGCGUCUGAUACUGGAUGGCUCGAGGUUGGGAGAGGGACGCGGAAUUCCAGGUGUAGCGGUGAAAUGCGUAGAUAUCUGGAGGAACACCGGUGGCGAAGGCGGCGUCCUGGACCAAUUCUGACACUGAGGAGCGAAAGCCAGGGGAGCAAACG